CUUCCUCUUCCUCCUUCAUGGGACUGACAGACAUGUGGCUGCUGUCCUGACAGCGUGUCUGUGCAGGAUAGUGUUUGGCCUCCCACAAAGCUGUGAAUUGACUGGGAGCUGGACUGCCCUGGAGUCUGUGUGGGAGCGGUGUGUUUCCUGCAGCCGCCGCCACUGCUGUAUCGGGCUGUGUAUGCUCUCCUUCAUGCUGCCAGUGGUGCAGUCAUCAGCUGCAGUUGACCCCAGGCUUCACUGCUGUUUUGGCUCUCCUUCUUUGGAUGUGCUUGACACCUGCUCGUCGCACCACGGCCUCCUCAGUACACCCUGCUGCCCUAGUGGCCUGUUGGACCACCCAGGCUCCUUGAGAAGUGUGGCUCUCCUGCAUCGAGCCUAGGAGCUUGGGCAUGCGCCGUGCUCAGGCAUUUUUAGAAAUGCAGACGCACUCUUCCUUCUGAUUUUCUUCUUUUUUCCCCUCUUUCUG